rnacentral:lncRNA from 1 species
ACCGGACAUGGUGGUGCACACCUAUCAUUCCAGUAACUCUAGGGGCUGAGGCAGGAGGAGUGCAAAUUUAAGGUCAACCUCAGCAAUUUAGCGAGACCCUAUUUCAAAAUAAAAAAUUUUUUAAAAAGGCUAAGCUUGUGGUUCGGUGAUAAAGUGCCCCUGGGUUCAAUCCUCAGUAAGGCCACCCCAAAAGAAAAAUACUAAGCAUACUAAUAAAUUCACUACAUGAUGAUAAAAGGGUCAUUUUGCCAGGAAUAUAUAACUAUAAUAAACUGUAACCACCUAAAAACAUAAAUUCAAAACAGAGAAGGACUGAUAGGACUAUAAAAUGAAGUGAAAAAUUCACCAUUUUAGUGACAUUUUUAGAACUGGGGAUAUAAUAGUGGUAAAGCACCCUAGGUUCAAUCCCCAGUACCAAGCAAAUAAACAACUCUCCCCAC